AUCGAUGUGGUGAAAUAGGUAAACACACUAUUUUAAGGAAAUAGGGGUUUUAUUAAAACCUUACGAGUUCAAGUCUCGUCAUCGAUA
rnacentral:tRNA from 1 species